UCAGCGGGAGAACACACGACUGAAGCUCGUGACGCCGGGGUUCAACUCCCCGUAUCCCCA
rnacentral:tRNA from 1 species